AACGUAGGGGACAAGCGUUAUCCGGAUUUACUGGGCGUAAAGCGCCCGUAGGCGGCCUGACAAGUUGGACGUGAAAGCUCCUGGCUUAACUGGGAGAGGCCGUUCAAAACUGUCAAGCUAGAGUCUGGAAGAGGAGAGCGGAAUUCCCGGUGUAGUGGUGGAAUGCGUAGAGAUCGGGAGGAACACCGAUGGCGAAGGCAGAUCUCUGGGCCGUAACUGACGCUGAGGAGCGAAAGCAUGGGGAGCGAACAGG
rnacentral:rRNA from 1 species